rnacentral:tRNA from 1 species
UAGAGAGUAGUAUAGUGGAGGUACGUGGGGUUUUGAGCCCCUCAGUGCAGGUUCGAACCCUGUUUUUUUA